CUUGUAUUCCAUCAAUAGGAUACGUGCAUUUCUGGUAACGGAAUUGUGCGAAGCUAUCCUGACGAUAUAGCCCGUAAAGAGAUUCUGUGAAGAAUUUCUGCUUCGUACCAUCGUCAGGUGCGGGGGAGU
rfam:Cyclobacterium lianum strain CGMCC 1.6102 genome assembly, contig: Ga0070154_112